ACUGUCUUUCCUGAAGUGGCUGUGAUACCAUCGCUGGAAAGGUCUUCAAAAGACAAAGCAAAUGUUUAUCAACUCUAACAUUCUGUGGUGGCUCUCUCUAUAUGUUGGGCUUGAUUCUCAGAGCAGGCUUAUGAAAGCACACAGAUGUCCUUUGUGUGUUUAGAUUCCUGUGCUUCCCCAUUCAGGUUCAAAAGCAAUGCUUGUCAGAGAAGGGGGGAUGUAUGUGACAGGGCCCAGCCUGAAGCAGGCUUGCUUUCACUCACCUUUCUCAAGCUGCCAUGAGAGUGGCCAUUUGGAAACAGCUGACCCAUUGCUCCCUUGCUUGGUGGCAUCUGUGUUCGUACUCAGUGGCAAAUGCCACUUUUGAUUCAGCAGCUAUUUAAAUCCACUUUGCUUAGGCUGUUUGAGAAACCAUGAAGUGAGCUGGACCAAAAAACACAAGGAUGUCUUCCAGUUGUUCACAUUCUGCCCUGGAACUGGUAAAUGCUUCAGCCUGAAGUGAAGAGGUUUCUUGAGUCGGUUUUGGUAUGCUGAUUUAACUUGCUCUUUAUUACAAAGUGCUAGUUUGGGAGGGACAGUGCUUUCCUCUGGGAUUCUUAAUCUCUGGAGUCACCCUCCUAGUCCUGACUGACUUCCAGGAAAGGUGACAGCACAUCACUGUGGCCUUCUUAAGGCUAAGAAACGUGGGGGCUAAAAGGCAUUAAGGGAAUCCUACUGGAAAAAUGGUGUGGUAUAAGUUUCCUUCAGAAGAUAACUCCUGAUGCUCUAACAGGAUGAGGUAGUAGGUUGUGUGGUUUCAGGGUAGUGAUUUUGCCCCAAUCAGGAGAUAACUAUACAACCUACUGCCUUCCCUGAUAAGCAGCAUAGCAACAGUGUCUUAAUUCACAUCAAAACAAGAGCUAAAACAUACUUCUGAGACCAGCAAAGUAAGUCAUAGAUGAAAUGUUUGUUUCCCUGUCCCUCACAGCUCUAAAUUUGGUGGCUUACAUGGUCUUUAGUAGCUGCCUGCAAAAUAAUUACUUUUUUUGAAGUCUGAAUUAAAGAAGUUUUGCUGAUUUCCAAGUUUGUCUGCUCUUGGAUCUGUUUAAUUUCUGCUUCUGCAAGGCCUUUGACACAGUCCCCAGAACAUCCUACUGGCCAAGUUGGAGAGAUGUGGAUUUGAUGGGUGGACUGUUCAGUGGAUGAGGAAUUGGAUAGAUGUUCAAUGGAUUGAAGUCCAUAUGGAGAGCAGUGACAAGUGGUGUCUCUCAGGGAUCCAUACUGGGACCUGUGCUAGUUAAUGUUUUUGUCACUGAUACAGACAAUGGGAUCAAGAGCAUCGGCAGCAAGUUUAAACACAGAUGACAUCAAGCUGAGUGAUGCUGUCAGUACACCAGAGGGACAGGAUGGCAUCCAGAGGGACCUGGACAAGCUGAAGAGAUGAAUUAUGUGAGACCUUGCAGCACAGGCAGGGUGGCACAAGCACGAGGGCAGAGCUGAAGAGUCACCUGUGGGACCACAGCCUGCAUUAAACACUCUGUGUCAAAAGGCAAAGUGAGGCAGCUGGCAUGAGGGAAGAAAGCUGUAAUUACAGCCAACUAAUGACACCUGUACCAACACCUACUGCUGAGGUCCUGAUCUUGAAACAGAAAGAAGGGAGAGAAGCUCUUUUCCCCUCCUAGGCAGACUCCCAGAACGUAAACAUUUCAGGAGGAGACAUAUGGGUCUAACUGGUCCCCUGCUCUGGUUCACAGCAUGGGCUGGCAAUGAGGUGGAGUGGAGACAAUUGAAGAGUGGCGCAGUAUUGCAUGAGGAUAAAAAAGUUGGAAGUGGGUGUUGGGAUGUUUCUGAGGCCAUAGGAUCAGAAAACUCUGACCUUUCUGCUGCUGGGGUGAGAUGAGUCUCCCCCAGUUUCUAGCAAGUAAUGGACUUAUUGAUAUACCUCACAGCACAGUAAAUCUGCUUGUGUUUUCAAGUCUCAUCUGAUCUCUCUCUUCUGUGUUGUUUAAUGUCUUGCUUGAAAAUUGUUUGAUCAAACACUUUAAACAAUUUCAGAAGUACAUUCUUGCUUUAAAAAAAAAC